rnacentral:tRNA from 1 species
GCGCCCGUAGCUCAAUUGGAUAGAGCGUCGGACUUCGAAUCCGCAGGUUGGGGGUUCAAAUCCCUCCGGGCGCG